GGAGUUCCUUAGCCCGAGAACUCGACCCCUAUGUUCCUGGAAACAGUCGUGUGACCUUCUGUACAACACUUCUCAACAAGCCCCCUUUUCUCACGUUAAAAACGAGAAGUCAUCUUGUCUGAGUGUCCGAAGACGCGGAAGGUGCGCUGACUUGGGCUCCCUAGGGAUGCUGACGUGGAGACAGGCGCUGGAUGGAAGAAGCCAGUCCCACCCUAACAGCUGGCGGGAUCAGCACUGUUGUCCUGAGAUCUGUGGCUGAUAGAGAAGCCCGGGGUGGCCUGGUGAGGGCCCCACAGGCCGCCGCCUGGUGAGAGGGAAGAUACCCCGGAAACAUCCCCUGUGGGCUGACCUGUCCCGGGAGCCCAGCAGACAGCUGAACCGAAAACUCCCUGACCACCAGGAGAUUUGGGUGUCUGGGGGUGCACGGAAGCGCCCCGGAGACCUCAGACAUGCGCCAGUCCCUUGAGAAGCAGGUAUCAGAAUGUGAGCCUCGCACCCCAAGAGCGCGAUUCCUUUGGGUGAGGAUGGAUUUGACAGCAGAUACAUAGGCCUUUGUUUGUUUGUUUCAACCAACGCUGAGGUGUCACCUUCCCCUUUCACCCCUCCGUUCCCGCCUCCCCGGGUCCCUCGUACAGGCCCCACACACGGAUUUUCAUUUUCAACACGUAGCGCCCGACUGAGGGAUCUGAGCUCACCGGCUCAGAAAACGGGAAAGGUCAGUCUGACUAACACCUCGCCUGGCGUCCUGGGAUCAGCAUCCAAGAGCAACAGAUCCGAGAUGGGCUGCAGGCUCCCGGGAGACCGGCGAUUCCCACGUGAAUGUUGGCUGUUUCCCUGGAGGCCAGGUGGGAGGUGGGCAGACAGGUCUAUGGAGAUGAGGAGUUCUUGGAGCUGGAACUCUCUGAACAUCCCCAUGGCCUUGCAGCUGGGAGGCGGACACGGAGCAGCAGGAAUGUGGGUUGAAUGAGGGCCAGGAAGCAGCAAUCACGUGACAUGUCAGCGGCUGGCCCAACGUCCACGGUCCAAGGAAGGAUGAGUGUGACUGACGUCUUGGCGUUAGCUUUUCCCAAGAGCGAGCUCUUAAAAAUAACUCUCCCGAGUGCAUGUGGCUGAGAGACCCCGCCACCUUAUUUCCCCCGUCUCUGUCCCUCGCUCCUUCUCCUUCGAUUUCAGCAAGAACCCUGUUUGUGCGGCUCCAACUCCCCACACUCGGACUUCUCUCCCUCCACUCUGAAAGGCGAAGACUCAGUUGGAAAACCUUGGAUGCAGAAUGGCUCGGAGUCACCCAGUGUCCUGUCUGGGUGUCACAGAAGCUGCGUCCCUCUGAGAAAGACCGUGUCAUGAGGGCGCUUUCAAUGUUUUCCAAAGAGCUCGUCCUGUGGUUGGAUUUGUUGGUUCCAGGAUCUCUGGACUUAGGCCAAGGAACGUUAUUAUGGAUCUAACCCACAGUGACAUCUGGAUUCAGAACCUCUGGGUUCUCUCCCCCCCACCACCCCCCCUCGAUCAAUUUGCUCUGUGACCUCAGAAAAGCUACACCCCAUCUCUGGGCUUCAGUGACAUCUCCUACUCAAAGGCGGUUCUUCAUCAAAAUUCAGCACAUACUCAUUCUUUCUUUUCUCUCUCCCAAGGCUGGGGGGCUUCCCUUAGAGACCCCCCCAACAUGCUCUCUUAUGGAGGAGUCUGCUAGGAGUGAGUCCAAAGGAGCUUAGAGUGAGGGAAGGGUUGGAAGUGGCCAAGAGCUUUUUAGGCUGAAAGGUGACAGCCCCUUUGCCUUUAAGGAAUCCCAUGCCUUACCCUAGCCACAGAGAAGUGCUCCUCAUCUGUGAGGCACCCACCCUGGCACUUUCGGGGUGUAGGGUUUGUAUGGCAGCCACUACGGAAAAUCUGUCUGAGCUGGAGGCGAGGGAUGAGCCAGCCUGGAAUGCUCCCACAGUCACAGCCGUGUUUACAGGAGAGCAUAUGGAUGGAGUUUAGCUUUGAUACAUUCCCAUCACUUUUUACAGAACGAUUUUCCAGCCAAUAAAAGACAUACCUUAACCACU